GGGUGAACUUAGUGACAUUCAAUCCCUUGUGUUUCUGCAUACCAUGCAUUUAUUCUGUGCAGCAGACCUAGAUGAGGUGUGUGACGCACGUGUGCAGCGCAGAAGGGACAUUGGCCAGGACUGUUGUACACAUUGGCCUUGCUUGGGGAGUGGGGACCAGACAGGAAUGGCUGAACGAACCAGCGAUAACUAAUUUCCGGGUUUUAGGACUACAAGUUGGCGAACUCUAAUAGGACCAUCCACGCAGACAUCCAGUUAUGAAUACAGCAUUUUCAACCCCGCCCUCUGGAAACUUGUUUCUUAAAUCUAAGUAUCCCCCCAGAACAACCUCAAUUCAUUGGGGCAUGGACUCUACAAGGUGUCGAAAGCAUUCCAAAGGGAUGCUGGCCAAUGUUGACUCCAAUGCUUCCCAAAGCUGUGUGAAGUUGGCUGGAUAUCCUUUGGGGGGUGGUGGACCAUUCUUAAUACACAUAGGAAACUGUUGAGCAUGAAAAACCCAGCAGUGUUGAACAUGAAAAACCCAGGCACUUAAAUAUUUUGUCUUGCCCAUUCACCCUCUGGAUGGUACACGUACACAAUCCAUGUCUCAAUUGUCUCAAGGCUUAAAAAUCCUUCUUUAA